rnacentral:rRNA from 1 species
UACGAGUGCCCCAAGCGUUAUCCGGAAUCAUUGGGCGUAAAGGGUGUGUAGGUGGCGUUGUUAGUCUUCUGUCAAAUUCUUCGGCUUAACCGGGGGUAGGCAGGGGAAACGGCAAUGCUCGAGGAUGCGAGGGGUGAAUGGAACUCAUGGAGUAGGGGUGAAAUCCGUUGAUAUCAUGGGGAACACCAAAAGCGAAGGCAAUUCACUGGCGCAUUCCUGACACUGAAACACGAAAGCGUGGGUAGCGAACGGG